rnacentral:rRNA from 1 species
AUCUGCCUUUUUGUGGGGGAUAACGUAGGGAAACUUACGCUAAUACCGCAUACGUCCUACGGGAGAAAGUGGGGGACCGCAAGGCCUCACGCAGAAAGAUGAGCCGACGACCGAUUAGCUAGUUGGUGGGGUAAAGGCCCACCAAGGCGACGAUCGGUAGCUGGUCUGAGAGGAUGAUCAGCCACACUGGGACUGAGACACGGCCCAGACUCCUACGGGAGGCAGCAGUGGGGAAUAUUGGACAAUGGGCGCAAGCCUGAUCCAGCCAUGCCGCGUGUGUGAAGAAGGCCUUCGGAUUGUAAAGCACUUUUGUCCGGAAAGAAAUCCCUGGAGCUAAUACCUUCGGGGGAU